rnacentral:ncRNA from 1 species
AGUCCACAGAAGUCAGAAAAUUGCCUGUGCUUUAAAAGGAGGUGAUGUUCUUGACUUGAUGUGAUUUCUGCCCAGUACUCUGAAUGUCAAAGUGAAGAAGUUCAAUGAAGUGCAGGUAAAUGGCAGGAGUAACUAUGACUUUCUUAAGGUAGUCAAAUGCCUGGUCAUCUAAUUAGUAAUGCACAUGAAUGGAUGAAGGAGAUU